AUUGAACGCUGGCGGCAUGCCUUACACAUGCAAGUCGAACGGCAGCACGGGAGCAAUCCUGGUGGCGAGUGGCGAACGGGUGAGUAAUAUAUCGGAACGUGCCCAGUCGUGGGGGAUAACGCAGCGAAAGCUGUGCUAAUACCGCAUACGAUCUAUGGAUGAAAGCGGGGGACCGCAAGGCCUCGCGCGAUUGGAGCGGCCGAUAUCAGAUUAGCUAGUUGGUGGGGUAAAGGCCCACCAAGGCGACGAUCUGUAGCUGGUCUGAGAGGACGACCAGCCACACUGGAACUGAGACACGGUCCAGACUCCUACGGGAGGCAGCAGUGGGGAAUUUUGGACAAUGGGCGCAAGCCUGAUCCAGCAAUGCCGCGUGCAGGAUGAAGGCCUUCGGGUUGUAAACUGCUUUUGUACGGAACGAAACGGUGAGCUUUAAUACAGUUUGCUAAUGACGGUACCGUAAGAAUAAGCACCGGCUAACUACGUGCCAGCAGCCGCCGUAAAAC
rnacentral:rRNA from 1 species